CAAUAGCGUAUAUUAAAGUUGUUGCAGUUAAAAAGCUCGUAGUUGGAUUUCGGGACGGGCCAGUUGGUCCGCCGCAAGGUGUGUUACUGACUGGUCUGUUCUUCUUCGCAAAGACUGCGUGUGCUCUUCGUUGAGUGUGCGUAGGAUUUACGACGUUUACUUUGAAAAAAUUAGAGUGUUCAAAGCAGGCAAUCGCUUGAAUACAUGAGCAUGGAAUAAUGGAAUAGGACUUUGGUCCUAUUUUGUUGGUUUCUAGGACCGAAGUAAUGAUUAAGAGGGACAAUUGGGGGCAUCCGUAUUUCGUUGUCAGAGGUGAAAUUCUUGGAUUUACGAAAGACGAACAACUGCGAAAGCACUUGCCAAGAGUGUUUUCAUUAA
rnacentral:rRNA from 1 species